rnacentral:rRNA from 1 species
GAUUCUGGCUCAGGAUGAACGCUGGCGGCGUGCUUAACACAUGCAAGUCGAACGGGAUCCAUCAGGCUUUGCUUGGUGGUGAGAGUGGCGAACGGGUGAGUAAUGCGUGACCGACCUGCCCCAUACACCGGAAUAGCUCCUGGAAACGGGUGGUAAUGCCGGAUGCUCCGACUCCUCGCAUGGGGUGUCGGGAAAGAUUAUAUCGGUAUGGGAUGGGGUCGCGUCCUAUCAGGUAGUCGGCGGGGUAACGGCCCACCGAGCCUACGACGGGUAGCCGGCCUGAGAGGGCGACCGGCCACAUUGGGACUGAGAUACGGCCCAGACUCCUACGGGAGGCAGCAGUGGGGAAUAUUGCACAAUGGGCGCAAGCCUGAUGCAGCGACGCCGCGUGCGGGAUGACGGCCUUCGGGUUGUAAACCGCUUUUGAUCGGGAGCAAGCCUUCGGGUGAGUGUACCUUUCGAAUAAGCACCGGCUAACUACGUGCCAGCAGCCGCGGUAAUACGUAGGGUGCAAGCGUUAUCCGGAAUUAUUGGGCGUAAAGGGCUCGUAGGCGGUUCGUCGCGUCCGGUGUGAAAGUCCAUCGCUUAACGGUGGAUCUGCGCCGGGUACGGGCGGGCUGGAGUGCGGUAGGGGAGACUGGAAUUCCCGGUGUAACGGUGGAAUGUGUAGAUAUCGGGAAGAACACCAAUGGCGAAGGCAGGUCUCUGGGCCGUUACUGACGCUGAGGAGCGAAAGCGUGGGGAGCGAACAGGAUUAGAUACCCUGGUAGUCCACGCCGUAAACGUUGGGCACUAGGUGUGGGGGGCCUUUUCCGGGUCUUCCGCGCCGUAGCUAACGCAUUAAGUGCCCCGCCUGGGGAGUACGGCCGCAAGGCUAAAACUCAA